rnacentral:lncRNA from 1 species
UACAGCUGUGCCGCGGGGACAAGAACUCAGAGUCGCUCCGAUCCGUUCAGCCUUGCAGGUGGAGGCGGAGUCUGAAGGAGAAACGUCUUACGUGAUCCUGGGUGUGGUGAGCGCCGUCCUGCUGGUGGUCGUCGCUUUCAUCGCUCUCUUCUUUAUCAUUAAAAGGAGGCGAUCAGCUGUGGGGCGGAGCGCUGAGGGAAGACAGCGCGGUGACGUGGUUCUGCCGUCCGGACCUGGAGCAGAUCAGAGGACAGACCGGUACACGGAGGACGUCAGCUACGCCGCCGUUCACUUCAAACAAAACAAACCCAGCAGGUAGGAGACGCAGACUCUUUAGUCUGUGAAACCGCAGUGAACGUUCAUGAUGUUCACGUGACCACCGUGGUCCUCUGGUGUCAGGACAGUUUGACGUUCAUCUGAACAGCUCUGAGCUCACUGCAGAUGCAGAAUGACCGAUAAGACGAGCCUCUUUCCUCUUUCAGAGAGCUGCAGCCGCAGGCAGACGAUGUGGUCUACUCUGCGGUGGUCACUCGAGGUUGAAGACCUUCAGGAUCCAGACAGCAGCACAGGAAGACGCCGCUGUGUCAAAAUCUAAAAAGUUCCAUCAAAAAUAACCUUCCUUUUUUAUUAGCUCUUAUCUCGUCUCCACUGUCCCUCUCAAAACUGUGUAAAUAUCUAUAAAUUAUUGUAUUUUUCAAAGGAUUUUACAUGUUUUUCCUUAUUUAAAACAUUUUUGUGCAUUUGUUCUUGAAUGUGAUGUUUUUGUUUAACGUUCUACAAAAAAAAUCAAUAAAAAGGUUUAUUCUGUUUUCUGUCACAGCUGGAAGAAUUUAUUCAAGUCCAUUUAUCAUGAAACUGUAUAUUUUCAGCUACAGUUGAUGAUAUUUAUUGUGAUUUGUUUCUUGGGCUCCGUUUGUUCUGAGGACGCUCAUCAUUUCUGCAGAGAAAGGAAGUCUCUGCAUCAGCAGUAAAAGGUUUCUGUCAUCAAAUGUCCAACAAUCUGAACAGUUUUUGGUUUG